AAAAGGAUCACUUUGGACGUCAUGUUAAAGGUUUUGAAUUAAAUAUAAUAAAAACAGAGAGGCAACCUACUACUUCUGGUUAGUGCUGAUCUGAGAGUUGGUGGGCACAUGAGGGAAGAUUCCAGAAACCUCUGCUGAGUCAGGUAGCAAUUGAGCUGAGUCUUGAAAAGCAAGAGUUCUGAAGUCCUGCCACUUCUGUCCCAAAGAAAAUGAAAACUGCUGACAUGUCCUGGAUGCCCCUGGGAAGGAACUGUCUGAUGUUAGCCUGGAGUGUGAACCAGGAAUCUCAGGAGACAGGGAGAAGAAAUUUCAAGGAUCCAGCAACCAAAGACCAAAUCGGAUUUGGAACAAGGCUGAGGAGAGGCAGAAGAAAGCCAACUUUGAAACAACUGGCCUGCGUUCACAAGCUGGACAAGAAGGUAGCUUGACCACAAGAAGCAAAGAGACUCACCGUAGACAUUUAGAUAUGCCCGUCCCCAAACCAAGGCCCUUCUGCAUGUGACCCUAAACCUAAAACCCUCCACAACUUCCUUGUCACAAACGUUCCAAACUGGAGACCUUAGCAGCCCAAGGGGCCAGGGCCGUCUUUACCUUUUUCUCUGGGUGGAUCAGUACCAGGAUAGUUCUCAAAUAUGUCUUGUUAACGUCUCUGCCUCUAAGAUCUCACUUACAUUUUCUACACUUUUGAUUCUCAGGAAGCUGGGGUUCCA
rnacentral:lncRNA from 1 species